AGAGUUUGAUCCUGGCUCAGGAUGAACGCCGGCGGUGUGCCUAAUACAUGCAAGUCGUACGCACUGGCCCAACUGAUUGAUGGUGCUUGCACCUGAUUGACGAUGGAUCACCAGUGAGUGGCGGACGGGUGAGUAACACGUAGGUAACCUGCCUCGGAGCGGGGGAUAACAUUUGGAAACAGAUGCUAAUACCGCAUAACAACAAAAGCCACAUGGCUUUUGUUUGAAAGAUGGCUUUGGCUAUCACUCUGGGAUGGACCUGCGGUGCAUUAGCUAGUUGGUAAGGUAACGGCUUACCAAGGCAAUGAUGCAUAGCCGAGUUGAGAGACUGAUCGGCCACAAUGGAACUGAGACACGGUCCAUACUCCUACGGGAGGCAGCAGUAGGGAAUCUUCCACAAUGGGCGCAAGCCUGAUGGAGCAACACCGCGUGAGUGAAGAAGGGUUUCGGCUCGUAAAGCUCUGUUGUUGGAGAAGAACGUGCGUGAGAGUAACUGUUCACGCAGUGACGGUAUCCAACCAGAAAGUCACGGCUAACUACGUGCCAGCAGCCGCGGUAAUACGUAGGUGGCAAGCGUUAUCCGGAUUUAUUGGGCGUAAAGCGAGCGCAGGCGGUUGCUUAGGUCUGAUGUGAAAGCCUUCGGCUUAACCGAAGAAGUGCAUCGGAAACCGGGCGACUUGAGUGCAGAAGAGGACAGCGGAACUCCAUGUGUAGCGGUGGAAUGCGUAGAUAUAUGGAAGAACACCAGUGGCGAAGGCGGCUGUCUGGUCUGCAACUGACGCUGAGGCUCGAAAGCAUGGGUAGCGAACAGGAUUAGAUACCCUGGUAGUCCAUGCCGUAAACGAUGAGUGCUAGGUGUUGGAGGGUUUCCGCCCUUCAGUGCCGGAGCUAACGCAUUAAGCACUCCGCCUGGGGAGUACGACCGCAAGGUUGAAACUCAAAGGAAUUGACGGGGGCCCGCACAAGCGGUGGAGCAUGUGGUUUAAUUCGAAGCUACGCGAAGAACCUUACCAGGUCUUGACAUCUUGCGCUAACCUUAGAGAUAAGGCGUUCCCUUCGGGGACGCAAUGACAGGUGGUGCAUGGUCGUCGUCAGCUCGUGUCGUGAGAUGUUGGGUUAAGUCCCGCAACGAGCGCAACCCUUGUUACUAGUUGCCAGCAUUAAGUUGGGCACUCUAGUGAGACUGCCGGUGACAAACCGGAGGAAGGUGGGGACGACGUCAGAUCAUCAUGCCCCUUAUGACCUGGGCUACACACGUGCUACAAUGGACGGUACAACGAGUCGCAAGCUCGCGAGAGUAAGCUAAUCUCUUAAAGCCGUUCUCAGUUCGGACUGUAGGCUGCAACUCGCCUACACGAAGUCGGAAUCGCUAGUAAUCGCGGAUCAGCAUGCCGCGGUGAAUACGUUCCCGGGCCUUGCACACACCGCCCGUCA
rnacentral:rRNA from 1 species